UACGUAGGGAGCAAGCGUUGUUCGGAUUUACUGGGCGUAAAGGGCGCGUAGGCGGCGCGGUAAGUCACUUGUGAAAUCUCUGAGCUUAACUCAGAACGGCCAAGUGAUACUGCAGUGCUAGAGUGCAGAAGGGGCAAUCGGAAUUCUUGGUGUAGCGGUGAAAUGCGUAGAUAUCAAGAGGAACACCUGAGGUGAAGACGGGUUGCUGGGCUGACACUGACGCUGAGGCGCGAAGGCUAGGGGAGCGAACGGG
rnacentral:rRNA from 1 species